rnacentral:rRNA from 1 species
UACGAAGGGGGCUAGCGUUGCUCGGAAUCACUGGGCGUAAAGGGUGCGUAGGCGGGUCUUUAAGUCAGGGGUGAAAUCCUGGAGCUCAACUCCAGAACUGCCUUUGAUACUGAAGAUCUUGAGUUCGGGAGAGGUGAGUGGAACUGCGAGUGUAGAGGUGGAAAUUCGUAGAUAUUCGCAAGAACACCAGUGGCGAAGGCGGCUCACUGGCCCGAUACUGACGCUGAGGCACGAAAGCGUGGGGAGCAAACAGG